UCCCAUCUGUCAUGGCAGCUGCAGCAAGCCUCACCCAAGGAGAGUCUGGCUGGAGGCCAAACAACACAAAACCAGCACACUUAACAAAAAUAUAACCAAUGACCCUUGCAGAGUCCACUUAACUCCCCUCCACCAGAGCAGGUGCUGGUAUCCACAGCUGAGAGACCUGAAGAUGGAUCACAUCACAGGACUCCUUGCAGACAUUCUCCAGUACCAGCCCAGAGCCUGGAGCUAAGCUAUGAGAACACAAAGACCUGUCCACGCUGAGUUUAUAGCAACUGUCAAUUACGGUUCAGAUUUUCCUACCCCAGCGUGACUUUCCAAAGAGGCUUCUGCUCAUGGAUUUCUGCUCCAGGAAGAUGCAACAGGAAGGUCCUCACAAGAUGGCUGAACAGAUGCAGGUGCUGUGCCUCUGGACUGCCUAGCCUCCAGAACUGAGGUGUUGGAAGCUGUGAAUGUGGAUGAAAGUACCAAUAUAGAGAGAACAGAGUGAGAAUAGAAGACAGCCCAAGAAUCUAAAGUCAUGCACUUGCAAGGGAGUCAGAGGAAGAGAGGGAAAAUGGUUCAUUGUUUCCAUCAUGUACUCUAUGGAAUACAAAGCUCUGAAACCUGUUGGCUACUGGAAGUGUACAAGAAAAAGACUCUCAAGCUAGAGGUGGGGUAGAGCUGGAGCCAGCCAUGUCAAGAUCUUUCGAGGACAUGAACAUUUUUUAUGCUUAUUAAAAGAUGAUGUGGUUUUAAAAUAAAUCUAAGGCUGGGCGCAGUGGCUCAUGCCUGGAAUCCCAGCAGUUUGGGAGGCUGAGGCGGGUGGAUUGCUUGAGCUCAGUAAUUCAAGACCAGCCUGG
rnacentral:lncRNA from 1 species